GGCAGCAGCCGCCGCCCCGCCGCCCGCCACCAUGUACCUGCACCCGGAGGCUGCCAGCGCAGGCUCUCCUUCCCGCGACGUCCUCCUCGUCUCAGCCAUCAUCACCGUCAGCCUUAGUGUCACCAUCGUCCUCUGCGGGAUCUGUCAGUGGUGCCAGCGCAAACUGGGGAAGCGUUACAAGACUUCCCUGGAGACCGUGGGAACUCCGGAUUCCAGCCGAGGCCGCAGUGAGAAGAAAACCAUCAAGUAGGUGCUAGGGGGAGGGGGAGAGGGGCACAGGGCUGCGGUGCCCGUGGGAGCCCAUGGAUCUGGCACAGCUGCAGCCCACUCAGCACCCUGAUCCAUCGUGGGUGCCCUGCCUGCCUAGGGACAUGUGCUGGACUGGUGCUGGCAGCAGGGAUGUCCCUCCUUGGGGACAGAGGUGGCUGUCCCUCUGCUCCCAGGGUGGAGGGUCUGGCAGAACCAGUUUGGCAGUAUCUCUCUCCUGGGGGGCUGCUGGGGAGACCGAGCCAGGGGUGGGCCCACCAUCGUGCCACAACAUUGUCCCUUCCUGCUCCUCCUGCAGCUCCAAGCAGGUUGGGGUUUUCCCCCCCAGUGAGGGCAGAGAUGUCCCCAAGUCCCCCAGCCCAAAUGGGACAGGGGUUUCAGGAGACCAGGACAGCUGGCAGGUCUCUCCAGUCCCCUCGUGUGCCCCUCCUGGCUCUCCUGCAGAGUUGUGGGCAUGAUGUAUGGAGCCAUGGGGACCUCAGCAUGGGUGUCCCCAGGGAUGUCCAAGGGCUGGGCAUGCAGACCUGAGCCCUGACCAUCCUGCCCAGCCCACGUGGCUGGACCACAGGCACCAGGGACAUGGUGGGAAGAGGAGAGCAGAGCUGGGAAGGUAUCAUGGCUAUUGAAACCCCCACCUUGGCUGGCCUGGCUUCCUGCUUGGGGUGUUCUUGGGGUGCAGGAGUCUGAGGCUACCUCAGGCAUCCCUCUGGGCCCAGCCAGCUGCUCCUGGCCAAGGGUACCUCCCCUCCUGGUGGCCCAGCACAUUCCAGGCUCAA